rnacentral:rRNA from 1 species
UGGGUCAGCGACUUAUAUUCUGUAGCAAGGUUAACCGUAUAGGGGAGCCGGAGGGAAACCGAGUCUUAACCGGGCGUUAAGUUGCAGGGUAUAGACCCGAAACCCGGUGAUCUAGCCAUGGGCAGGUUGAAGGUUGGGUAACACUAACUGGAGGACCGAACCGACUAAUGUUGAAAAAUUAGCGGAUGACCUGUGGCUGGGGGUGAAAGGCCAAUCAAACCGGGAGAUAGCUGGUUCUCCCCGAAAGCUAUUUAGGUAGCGCCUCGUGAAUUCAUCUCCGGGGGUAGAGCACUGUUUCGGCUAGGGGGCCAUCCCGGCUUACCAACCCGAUGCAAACUGCGAAUACCGGAGAAUGUUAUCACGGGAGACACACGGCGGGUGCUAACGUCCGUCGUGAAGAGGGAAACAACCCAGACCGCCAGCUAAGGUCCCAAAGUCAUGGUUAAGUGGGAAACGAUGUGGGAAGGCCCAGACAGCCAGGAUGUUGGCUUAGAAGCAGCCAUCAUUUAAAGAAAGCGUAAUAGCUCACUGGUCGAGUCGGCCUGCGCGGAAGAUGUAACGGGGCUAAACCAUGCACCGAAGCUGCGGCAGCGAACGUAUCACCCAAGACAACUUUACGGAGUUGACGAUUGACGGAGCGAAGCGACGUCAAAGCGUUCAUUAAAGUCGAGUUGGCUUAGGGAUACGUUCGUUGGGUAGGGGAGCGUUCUGUAAGCCUGUGAAGGUGUGUCGUGAGGCAUGCUGGAGGUAUCAGAAGUGCGAAUGCUGACAUAAGUAACGAUAAAGCGGGUGAAAAGCCCGCUCGCCGGAAGACCAAGGGUUCCUGUCCAACGUUAAUCGGGGCAGGGUGAGUCGACCCCUAAGGCGAGGCCGAAAGGCGUAGUCGAUGGGAAACGGGUUAAUAUUCCCGUACUUGGUGUUACUGCGAAGGGGGGACGGAGAAGGCUAUGUUGGCCGGGCGACGGUUGUCCCGGUUUAAGCGUGUAGGUGUGUGUUCCAGGUAAAUCCGGUUCACUUUAACACUGAGGCGUGACGACGAGGCACUACGGUGCUGAAGCAACAAAUGCCCUGCUUCCAGGAAAAGCCUCUAAGCAUCAGGUAACACGAAAUCGUACCCCAAACCGACACAGGUGGUCAGGUAGAGAAUACCAAGGCGCUUGAGAGAACUCGGGUGAAGGAACUAGGCAAAAUGGUGCCGUAACUUCGGGAGAAGGCACGCUGACACGUAGGUGAAGUGAUUUACUCAUGGAGCUGAAGUCAGUCGAAGAUACCAGCUGGCUGCAACUGUUUAUUAAAAACACAGCACUGUGCAAACACGAAAGUGGACGUAUACGGUGUGACGCCUGCCCGGUGCCGGAAGGUUAAUUGAUGGGGUCAGCGUAAGCGAAGCUCCUGAUCGAAGCCCCGGUAAACGGCGGCCGUAACUAUAACGGUCCUAAGGUAGCGAAAUUCCUUGUCGGGUAAGUUCCGACCUGCACGAAUGGCGUAAUGAUGGCCAGGCUGUCUCCACCCGAGACUCAGUGAAAUUGAACUCGCUGUGAAGAUGCAGUGUACCCGCGGCAAGACGGAAAGACCCCGUGAACCUUUACUAUAGCUUGACACUGAACAUUGAGCCUUGAUGUGUAGGAUAGGUGGGAGGCUUUGAAGUGUGGACGCCAGUCUGCAUGGAGCCGACCUUGAAAUACCACCCUUUAAUGUUUGAUGUUCUAACGUGGACCCGUAAUCCGGGUUGCGGACAGUGUCUGGUGGGUAGUUUGACUGGGGCGGUCUCCUCCUAAAGAGUAACGGAGGAGCACGAAGGUUGGCUAAUCCUGGUCGGACAUCAGGAGGUUAGUGCAAUGGCAUAAGCCAGCUUGACUGCGAGCGUGACGGCGCGAGCAGGUGCGAAAGCAGGUCAUAGUGAUCCGGUGGUUCUGAAUGGAAGGGCCAUCGCUCAACGGAUAAAAGGUACUCCGGGGAUAACAGGCUGAUACCGCCCAAGAGUUCAUAUCGACGGCGGUGUUUGGCACCUCGAUGUCGGCUCAUCACAUCCUGGGGCUGAAGUAGGUCCCAAGGGUAUGGCUGUUCGCCAUUUAAAGUGGUACGCGAGCUGGGUUUAGAACGUCGUGAGACAGUUCGGUCCCUAUCUGCCGUGGGCGCUGGAGAACUGAGGGGGGCUGCUCCUAGUACGAGAGGACCGGAGUGGACGCAUCACUGGUGUUCGGGUUGUCAUGCCAAUGGCACUGCCCGGUAGCUAAAUGCGGAAGAGAUAAGUGCUGAAAGCAUCUAAGCACGAAACUUGCCCCGA